AAUCAACGCUGGCGGCGUGCCUAACACAUGCAAGUCGAACGCGAGAGGGGCUUCGGCCCUGAUUGAGUGGCAAACGGGUGAGUAACGCGUGGGUGACCUACCUUCGAGUGGGGGAUAACGUUCCGAAGGGGACGCUAAUACCGCAUAACAUCCUGUCUUUGGACAGAUGGAGAUCAAAGCCGGGAUCGUAAGACCUGGCGCUUGAGGAGGGGCCCGCGUCCGAUUAGCUAGUUGGUGGGGAAUGGCUCACCAAGGCAACGAUCGGUAGCCGGCCUGAGAGGGCGGACGGCCACACUGGGACUGAGACACGGCCCAGACUCCUACGGGAGGCAGCAGUGGGGAAUUGUUCGCAAUGGGCGCAAGCCUGACGACGCAACGCCGCGUGAAGGAUGAAGGUCUUCGGAUU
rnacentral:rRNA from 1 species